rnacentral:sRNA from 1 species
AACAGCAGUCAGUGCUCUUAACUACUGACUCAUCUCUACAGCUGUAAUUUCAGUUUAGGCUUUAAAAAUAAACAAUGAAAUUGACUUCAAAUUUUCAUGGUCUAUGUGACAUAAAUCGAACAAAUACUUAUAGUUACUUAAAGUUGUGACUUCACCAUUCACUACUAAAUGUCAGAAUAAGUAGCUAAAUUGGCACACUAAUUUUUAAAAACAUUUUCACUGGGGAAAAACACUACUGUAUUUCCUCACCUUUGAGAUAUUUGUGUAAUUAGGAUAUUUCUUAUAAAUGGAACAAUACAUUUUUUAAUGGUACAUAGUAAUUUAAGUUCUCUGAAGUGUGAUCUUAAAACUGUAUGAAGCUAGAAUCCUUUAAUUCCAGCACUUGAGCGUCAGAGUCAGGAAGAUCUCUUUAUGAUUGAGGACAGUCUGGUCUACACAGCAAGUUCUAGGUCAUCCAGGUCUACAUGAUAACCUUGUCACUUAAAAUUAUGAAUUAAUUAAUUAGUUAAUUAAAAACUGCUUGUCUUGUCUUUUAAAACUAAAGUCAGAUGCAAAUAUUUCCAACUAGUCCAAAUUAUAUUGACAAAAUAUAUAACAUACGAAUAUGCAACACUUAAAUCUUUUUAAAAACAACCUGUUUUCAGGGUUUGUGGAGCGGAAACUGGGAAGGGGGUAACAUUUGAAAUGUAAAUAAAUAAAAAACCAAUUAAAACAAAAACUUAGCUGUAUUUUUGGUAGGGAUACUGGGGCAGUACAGUCAAGAAAUGUUUUAAUAAUUAAUAUGACUGAAAUGUGAUAUAAUUUAAUGUGUAAUCAGAAGGUGUGUUUAAAGUUUGAUAGGUACCUGUGGAAUUACAGUUUUUUGUUUGAUUUUUGUUUGUUUGUUUUGCCUUCUGAUUCCCAAAGGUGCCAUGUUUUUUCCAACACCAGUUCUCUAGUUCUGUUAUCAGCUAGCUGUCCCAUAAUUCUAACACUACUCACAAUUAGCGUCUGACUUCCCAAGUUUAAGAGCUUAGGCCCACAAGAUGGCCCUAACUUUAAGUACCAGUUGUAAGCAUCAAGUCCUCAGGUUAGAAUACCCUUAUCUCACCCAAGCCUCAGUAGUUUGCUACAGUCACUCAGAAUGCAGUAACAUGAGUGUUAACUUUCACAGUUUAUUACAAAGAGCCCAAACAGUCAAACCAUAGUGCACACAGGGUAAGGUCUAGAAGGUUACUAACUGCAUACCUUGUCUCUGUGGAGUUGACUUACACUGCCCUCAGCACAUGAAUGGCUCCAAUCAAAGCUCCUAAACCUCAUUGCUUAUGGAUUUAUGGGUUUUUCUUUUGUGCAGGUAUGAUCAAUGAAAUCAUUGGCAUUGGCCACUGACUCAAUCUGCAGCCCCUCUCUCCUUUCUGGAUGUUUGGAGCAGGACUAAAACUCUGACCUUCUAAUCUAUAUGUAGUCUUUUUCCCAGCCAUCCUCUAUCUUGAAGCCAUCUAGGAGCCACCAAGUGUGGCCUCGCUAUAGCAAAAGAUGUCCUCAUUGCCUUUUAUCAUUUAGAAACUUCCAAGACAUUUUUAGUUGUCUGCUAAAACCAGCAGUAAGACUAAGACUACAGGUAAUAUUUCUUCUUAUAUCUAAAGGUCAAAUUGUAUAGAAUAUUGUCAAACUGAGACUCGAUAGAGGAAUUUUUGUAUAUACCUUUUAAAACUCAAUGGAAAUUUGAAUUAUUAGAAAAGUUAUACAGCAUUUUAUAAUGAGAGAGAUGAAAAAAAAUCAAAAGUAUGGACAAAGAAGCCAGGUGAGGUAAGGUAUCUAGAACUUUGAUAGCUCACCCAGGAGAAGGUAGGGCUUUCAUUUACACUGGUCCUGAAAAAGAACCAGAGUUGCAGACAUGCUGCCCGUUUUGAGCAUGCUUGUAUUCUGCCCGUUUUCCUUACAGCUUGCAUGACCUUUCCCUCCAGGACUCAGUGAUGCAAUAUGAUCCUUAUUCCUUGAUGGACAGAAAGAACAUCAUGGAGAUAGAAAAACGUCGUAAGGAGAGAUGAAGGAUCCACAGCACAGAUUCCAAGCCCACCACUCUCUUAGUCAAUAUUCUAAGAGACACCAUGACCAAGAUAGACACUGAACGUCUUUCUAAGGUCGUCUCAUUCCCUACCCUCCUUGGUCCUGGUUGAUGUAAAGUCUGAAUUGGGUUUCUGAUCAUGCUAGCCAUGGCUGGGGGUUCCCUUUUCUCAAAAGGGGUCCUCAAGAGUUUUGGAAGAAACACAAUCUCACAACAGACAUUCUGGACCUCUGGCACCUACAAUUUUUCUUCCUCUUCUCCUGUGAUGUCCUCUGAGCCUUAAACACAGGAAUUACACUGGCAAUGUAUCCACUAGGUAUGAGAUUCCCCAAAUUAAUUGAUAUCUGCAUUCUGAUCAACUGUGUUGUUCUGUAAUAGUCUCCAUUUGCUGCAAAGAAAAGCUUCUUUGAUGUGUCUGAGAAUUUUACUUAUCUAUGGGUAUUAAGGUAUGUUUUAGAUUGCAAUUAGCUUGUCCAAUUGCUAAAACAUCCCAGUGAUGAGGUUUAGAUUGCAAUUAGCAAUUAUGCAGUCUAGUAAGUUGGUAGUAGUAGUUGCUUUUCUAAGGUCCAUCACCUCCCUAGCCCUGGGUUUGUGGGAAUGCCAACUGUUACUGUCACUCUGGAAAUCAGGAUGGAGAAUCCUCUAAAAGGUAAAUAAAUGUGACUCGACUCUACCACUUGUCAUCAUAUGACCAAAGGACUUAACAUCCUAUGAUUAACAUCCUAUGACACAGAUACUUGCUCAGCGUGUUAAUUGCAACUUAUUCCAUGAUAGCUAGGAAAUGGAAUCAACCCAAGUGCUCAUCAAAUAGACGAAUGUAUAAGGAGAAUGUGGAGCACUCUCCAGAUGUAAAGCAACAUGGAACCAUUGGAUUUGCAGGUAAAUGGAUGGGCUUAGAAGAGAUUUUAUUGAGUGAUAUAACCCAGACUCAGAAAGACAAACAUUGUGUGUUCUUUCUCAUUUGUAGUUCCUAACUCCAAAUUUCUUAUAUGAGUAUAUAACCUAGAGCUACUGCAGAAACCAAGGAAAUAGGAAGGAACUGUGGCAGGGAUAAAUGAUAGGAAUAGAGAAAGAGACUAGCAGGAUAGCAGUGAUAUGGAAGGGAAAAUGGAAAAUAAUGGCAAGGAACUGUGAUUGGGAAGGGGAUAAGAAUGGACAAAUAACUAUGACUGAAAAUCCAUCAGAAUUCAUAUUAUUUUAUA